rnacentral:tRNA from 1 species
GCCCAGGUAGCUCAGAUGGUAGAGCAGCGGACUGAAAAUCCGCGUGUCGGUGGUUCGAAUCCGCCCCUGGGCACCA